rnacentral:lncRNA from 1 species
CGGCAAAGGAGGCCGCGCGAAAGGCGUGGCCAAAGAAAAACACGUUGCGCAGCCGGGCGCCCACAAAGGUCGAGGGACCGUCGAGGGCCACGCGGAGGAUGUCGUGCGAUUCCACAAACCGGGCGGGCGGGCCGUCGGGAUCGCGCUCGUGCUCGCCCAUCGUCGGGUCCUCGGGCGGCACGGCCGGCGGACCAAAAGUCCACUUUCCGCGCGGGUCCCACUGCGGAUGGCGCAGUUCGAGAUGGGCGAGCGAGAUGUAGUCAAAGCCGGGCGUGAGUGUCGGCCCCUCGUCUGCACCGUCGCCAUCUGUCGUGCCGUCAUUCUCGCCGUUGUCCUUGUUGUCUUUGUUGUCUUUGUCGUGACUGCCAUCGCGGUUGGCGCCUUGUCUCUGCCCCUUCCACUGGCGCAUGGCCGCCGCCGUGAGCACGUCCAGGCCCGAGCGCAUGGGCGUGCCCAGAGCGCCGACUACCGUGGCGCGCAAGAGGUCUGCGACAACCGCCUCGCGCAGGGCGUUGGAACCGCCGCCGAGGGCGACCGAUGACGCCAUGUGACGCACGGCCCAGGCCAAGACAGCGGGCGGCGCGCAUUGCAUCCACGGGCGCCACGCGAUCGGCGCGGGGUUACCGGGCGCCACCGCGUCGCCCGUCUCGGGAUCGCACGUCGCAAAGGCGAGCCAGUCGCGGAGCAGGUCGGCGCGGUAAAAGCGACCGCUCGCAAAGAGGGCGCACUCGCCGGCGGGCACCGACGUGCCGGCCAGAAAGCAGCGCACCCACGGGCACCUCCCCCGGCCCCGCAUCGCCUUGGCGUGGUCUCCUCCUCCUCCUCCUUGUUCUCUGUCGACAUCAUCGACGACAACGUUGGUUUCAUCGACGCCGCCAAAGACGACGAUGCCAAAGGGCGGCCGGUCAUCGCAUGUGCCACCAGAGUCGUCGCACGGAUCGGCCAUGGGGCCGACGGCGUGAGGUGCCUGCGCGGUAGACGUGAGGCUCGCACGCCCCAGGAGCGGCACCAACGUGUCGGCCGUCAUGUCUUUUAUGCGCUUGCCAAACUCGCACACGCGCGCCUCGAUCGACGUAUCCGUACUCGCGCUGGCAUCCGGCAAACCGUGGAGGACAUCGUCGUCUUUGGCAGCGCGCUCUGCGCCGGCCCUUGCCAUCCAGCGGCGGCCGGCGAGCCGGCGGUCGGCGUGCGUGCGUCCGACAGCCAAAAAGCAGAGGCCGCUGGCGUCUGCGACGAUCACCCUGUCUGCGACGGUGUAUCGCACAACGCCGCGCGCACUCUGGCACACGCACGACACAUCGGUUUCGGGCGUCUGUCGGCGCGUCCAGUGGAUGAUUCGCGUGCCGUCUUUGUGGUGCGACGCGCAGCGCAUCGUCGGUCCGUCGUUGCGCGGCGACACCUCGUUGUAGCGCCGGAUCAAUUCUAUAGAGGGCUCACCCUGGGCAAUGACACGCUCGCUCAGCGUGCCCGACGGCGUGCGCUCGACGCUGGUUAUGGCGUCCCGCAAGCCGCCAGUCGCCGCAGAGCCGGCAUCGGCCGACCCGUCCGCAAAGACACGGACAAAUCGACCGCUGGCCACGCUUCUCGUGAAUUCGGAAGUCUCGACGGUGCCCGAGUCGUGUUCAAUGCGUACGAGGCCGUUUGCCAGCCCGUCGACAAACGGACCCCGGAAGGUCAUGUGCACGCCGCGGUCGGCCGUCUUGUGCAGUGCGACCGCCCGACCGGGACCGACGAGCGACCCGCGCACAAAGCGGCCCUCGUGGAUCUGGUUGGUUUUACUCUCAGCCCCGUAGCCGCUGAGCACAAACUUGGCGCUGUCGCCCGUGUCCGCGACGACGACGUCAAAUUCGCCCGAGCGGGCCACGGCGCCGUUGGAUACGACGAGCCGCGCAGUGAGGCGCCCGGUAGGUCCGAGGCGCACGCGCCCGACAGGCGCGGCCAUCAGCCCAUAGAGCCAGCGCGUGCUCUUGCCGUGGGCCUCGUGGUCGGCGUGCUCGAUGGGUGGCCCCGCGGGGCAAAUGUCUCGCCGGUAGGCCGCCUUCCACAGGCGCUCGCAGUCGGCCACGCGCGCCGCCGCGCGGCACGUGCACGCCACCGCCGCAAGAUCGCGGCCCGACAAGAGCCCCAGCACGCGCUCGAUCAACUCGUCGGGCAUGUGCGCGACCGACGGCGCACAAGCACGCCUUUUCCCGCCGCCGCCUUGGCGAUUGUUGGGCUGAGUGCCCGUGACCGAUGGCGGCGACCGGUUGCAGCGGUGGCGUGCAUCGUGCCGCCGUCGCGGGCGCUUGCGACAGGGCAGACGCCAAAGGACCCCAUCAACCCUUUUGUCCUCCUCGGCCUCUGCGCCGUGGGCCGCCUUUCGCUUUGUCUUUGGCUCUGUCGCCGUGUCCCCCAUGUCUUUCUCAGGCGGCGCGUUGGUCGUGCCUCUUUUGGUCCCUCUGCCUUUUGGUCUGUCUUUGUUUUUUAGAGAUAGGG